UUUUUUUUUUUUUUUUUUUGGGCAACUUGACACUAACCUUGGCAUAUUUGAGAAAAGGGAAUCUUAAUUGGGAAAAUCUCCAAAUAUUGAGAUGGAGGCAAGUCUGUGCCGGUAUCGCCUUGGUUAAUGACUGGUGUGUGAAAGCAUGAUUUAUGUAAUUCCAGAAUGAAUGUUUCAUUUGUAUAAAGCUGUAAUAAAAAGUUAACAGCAAAAACACUAAAACUAUUUUCAUGGAAUUAAGUAUAAGACUAAUUAUAUCAAAGCUACAACAUCGUGUGUGUGUGUGUGUGUGUGUGUGUGUGUGUGUGUGUGUGUGUAGGUAAGAAACUAUUGAUGUUAUUGAUCCAAAUGUCAAAACCCUCUUGUUAAAUAGAACUUUGCUUGCCUAAGCUAAAACUCACCUGAUUUUAUGUAAGAGCUACUCAUUAUGAGUAAAGAGUGCUGUAGAAUUCAAAGUUAUAGGCAAGAUACUCUGUUUUCAAUUAUACUGUAUGAAAGUUAAAAUAUGAGCAUAGGUUCUGGUUGGAUUUAUUUCUUGGCAAUGGAUAUUUGGGAAACAUUAAAUGAUAAAUUACAGAUGUCUCUAUGCUUCCUUCCUACAAUGUCCUAGUAGUUCUGUGUUCAGUAAUUUCAUUUGGACUUUGUAGAAGUACAGAGUUUUGAGGCAGGGAAAGCUCUAAGAAUCUUCUUUUUACCCACUUUUCUUGCAGAUGAGAAAAGGACCUGAGGUUAGGUGGGGACUGGGUGAUGUGGCAGGCCUCAGUCCAGACAGAGGACUUGCCUUCUUAGAGAAAGAGUUGCUUGUUGCUGCCUAGUCCUCCAGUGCCAACACGGUCUCUUGUUCCUUUGUAUGGUGAUAAUAGUGGGGAGAGGAAAAUGAGGGAGGGAAGGAAAAAGGAGAGAGAUAGACAGUAAGGAAAAGGUAGGCUGAUAAAGUCAAAAGUGGGCCUCUAGAAGGUGGUCACAGUAAAGUAAUGGUCUGGACAGUUUCUGGUGCAUCAGUGAGACCUGCCCAUCCUUUCCUUGCUGCUCUCUGCUCCAUUCCUUUAGAGUCAACCCAUCUUGAAGUUUCGAUGUCUGUGCCUGGGUUUGUUGAUUCUAUUAUAUCCUAAUCAGUAUGUGCCUCAUGUCAUCAUGCCAGGGAGAGAAGAGGCAAGCUAAAACAUUAUGUGUGGUUGGCUGUCAAGUUUCAUAGUUUCUGACUCUUAGCUAUUGCUAACCUCCACUUUUUCUUCCUACCUCUGUAUCUGCCUCAAAUCCUAGAUCCCUCUUCUUAUUCAGCACCAGGCAUUUUAAGAGAGGUGACACUAGAACCUCAUUGUCACAGAGCAGAUAGCACGUUAUAGUUGUACUUUGCCAAUUCACUCAGUCUUAUUGAUUUGUUGCUGUGAAACUUGUUGAAACCCAGCAGCAUGGACACAGGGUUGCUGCAGCAACCUUGCUCACAGUGCCCUCUGGACUUGUAGCAAGCUUCAACCACAGCCCCGUUCUUAGGUUUUGCUCCUAGAACGUUUACCAGGUCUACAUUCUGACUUUAAAUCCUUGAACACAUUUCCUUUACACACAAAGGGAAUGGCAGGCUUAGCUACUGAUUAGCUUCUACUAUUGCAGUCAGUAGUGUCAAGGGAUCUAACUUACUUCUCUUAGCAAGGUUUACCUAGUUUUACUCUCAAGCCCAUCUUUGGGGUUUUCAUUGGAAGCCUCUUCCUUUAUGGUUUCUAUGGUUGAAAGUAAACUCACAGCUAAAGUUUUAUUAGAUGAGCAAUACAUAUUCUAGUAAAAUCAGAAAAUAAGGAUAAAGGAAAGAAAACAAUAUAAAUUUUCUAUAAUCUAUCUGCCAGAGAAACCACUGAUAACAUUUUGUGCAUAUUUGAACUUUUUCCCUGUUUAUUCACAUAGUGUUAAAUGGCUUAAGUAAAAAUAUGAGUCCAUACUGUUUGAAGUCCAAACACUUUAAAUUAGUAUUUCCCACUUGGUGUAUUAUAUGUAUCUGUCGAAUGAAAUAGAAUUUUGUAUUUUGAAAAGAUAAAUCUCUGUGUUCCAGUCUUUUCAUAUAAAGCUAAGUAUAAAUUUCAAAAAGGCCUAUUGUCUUUCUACUCAGGUUGACACACUGAAAUGAUUAGCAAUAAAACACGAAGCUAGCUGAUUGCAUAGCGUGUACUAAAGGCUUUUUUAUGUGUCAGCUUCUUCCCAGAGAAUCCAUAGGAGUAGGCAUUAGCAUUAAUCCUGUUCUAUUGGGGCUAGGUGUUUAAAUAUAUCCCAAAAUACAGCUAGUAAUACCUGAACCGAGACUAGGAUUCAGAUGGCUUGUCUCAUAAGACUGUUCUUAAGAUACAUUUUAUACUCUUCGGGUUUUAACACACACACACACACACACACACACACACACACACACACACACACACACACACACACACACACACACACACACACACACACAUUACCAGUCAACCUCAAUGUAUGGCAGUUUUAGAAUAUAUUUUCUAACAAUCUACUCAUUUUUGAUAAAACAAAAGGCAUCAUAUAUAGUCUUCUCUAUCUUUAAAAAAUAAAUAUAGCUCAAUGCCCAGCACUUGCAGCACACAUACACAUAACAUAAUAAACUUAAGAGACCUUUAUCAAUCUGCAUAGAGAUACCUCACAAUAACAACCAUAUAGAUAUUCAUUAUAUGCUUCAGUUUAAUUUUCUAGUUCAGUAUUGAUGGACAGUUUCAUUGUGUACAGAUACUUUCAGUGAUAAACACCAGUAUUCUUGUACUACUAGUUUGUAUUGAAUGAUAAAUUUAAGUACUGCAUAAUAAAAUUAGUUAUUUCUUUUACUGCUGGUGAUGUGGACCUCACAUUCUACUGGAAAUUUAUUUAGUCCUUAAAGGAUCCUUAUGAAUCACACACUGUUAUUGUCUCUGUUAUACCUGAAUAAAAUAAGGCCUGGAGAGAUUUAUAGAUUCUCCUCCUAUAAUACUAUAAGUAUAUGACAUCUAAGAUUUGACGACAACCAUCCUAGAGAUAUGGUCUUGACUACUCAUACUUAUGUGUCAAAUGUCAAGAGAUCAGGUGGCUGUCGUCCCAGUACUGAGGACUGAGGCACUGCUGAUAUUAGUAAACAUUUCUCAUGGCUACAUACACUUGCACUAUGAGACCAUGAAGUUCUUCUUUUAAGCUAAGCCUCAGUUGUGACAACCCUUAAGAUGUUAAAAAAAUGGUAUGCCCAGCAUGCCAUCAGCAUUGACUGAUAAGUAUGGUUGAACAAUAUAUGUUUACUGGUCAUUUGUGUUACUUUUCCUUUAAAUUCCUUUAGCUCGUUUUCUGUGGCAUAACACUUACAGACCAGGUGAUCUGUACACAGUAGAAGUUCAUUUGGCACCUGGCUCUGGAGGGUGGCAAGCCUGUACAUGUCACAGGCCUUCAUACUGAGUUAUGACAUGGAAAUAGGCAGAGAAGCAUGCAUAAGACAGUAUAUCUUACUGAGUGACCCUUGCCAUAACUGCACUAAUCCACACACAAGGCAUAGUUCUUAUGACCUAGCCACCACUUACAGGCCUGUUGUAAAAGUUCUGGGCUUUUCUACACCCACCCUAGCUCUGAAAUAAUGACAUGGAGACCUGGUAUAUUUAUUAAAAAGGUUCUCAUUUAGUUUAACCCUACCUUGCUGGCCUGGCCUCCUUCCCAUCAGCUUCCCAGCCACGUGGCCUUAUCUGCCAUCUUAGUGUCUCUCUGAUUGUUCCAGCUCCAUCUGUGUCCUCCUCGACUCUCUCAUGACUACUUCUCAAGUAAAAUUCUCUCUCUCUUCCUUCCACUCAAGAUCCUCUCACUGGAAUUAGAGGUCCAGCUUGCUGAGAUAGUGACUGAUAAGCUCUUUAUUAAGCAGUCAGAAGUGGCAGAAAACAAUUUUUGCAUAACAUUGAAAUAGGAGAUGCUUAGCAAUGCCUGUGUCCAGACUGCAAUCAGAUCUCUGGGCACAGUACUCAGCGUAUGCAUACAUAGUGUGUGAAAUCAUCCCCCAGUAGACUUUCUUCGUAAUAUUGUCACACAGCAGUUGAAUUUCAGUAUGAGUUUUGAAGGAGAAAAAUUCAAACCAUAGCUAUACCUUAAUUCAUUUUUUUCUCUUGGAGAGUUUAUUUUUAAAAUGACUUAAAAAUAAACUUAUUUAUUUUUGUGUGUAUGUGUGAGGCCCAGCAUGUAUGUAUAUAUAUCAUACGUGUGCCUAUGUCUGCAGAGACCAUAAGAAGGUGUGUGGUUCUUUGGAGCUAUAGUGACUUGUAGUUGUGAAAUGAUGUUGUGAGUGCAGGGAACUGAAUCCGGGUACAUUGUAAGAGCAGCAAGUGCUCUUAACUAUUGAACCAUUUCUCCAGCUGUUUUAAGUGAUUUCCAUGGACAGUUUAAAGU
rnacentral:lncRNA from 1 species